rnacentral:misc_RNA from 1 species
UGUAGGACAUAUCUAGGUUACACAGACAAGGAAGUUUAAAACCCAAUCAGUAUUUAACAUUUUACAAAAAACAAGAUUAGCUCUGUAGCAGAUGACAACACACAUGUAUUUGAAGGGCAUAGGAGGUAUGAUCAGUAGAUGUUUCUUACUGAUAACGGCGCUUUCGUAUAUAGAUGCCGUUACAUUAAAUGGGUCGUCAGAGUACGCUGUUCCCGGAAGUGAGUUUACACUGACGUGUGAGGUACCAGAGGAGGCAAACAUUGUUACAUUUUACCGCCGUCCUGAUGUUUCUACUCCAGUAGGAAGUAUACAAGUAGCUGGUGACCAAUGCUAUAACACCAAAGCCAGCCCAGCUGUCCUCUGUACACCGGAUGUCUGUUCCUGUGUAACAACCUCGACUGGAGGCCGUGGUACAGUGUUCCGAUGGGUCUUACGACCACAGAGUGGAGACCACGGAUCCGAGUGGUUUUGUGGGCGUACUAACUUUAAUUUGACAGACCAAAUAAGGCAGAGUCCGGACUAUACACUAAAAAUAGCUGAUGCUGUUACGUUAACUGGGUCAUCCGAAUGGGCUGUGCCCGGAAGUGAGUUUACAUUGACGUGCAAUGUACCAGAGGAGGCAAAUGAUGUUACAUUUUACCGUCGUCCUGACUUGUCUACUACAGUAGGUGUGAUACAAGUAGCUGGUGACCAAUGCUAUAACACCAAAGCCAGCCCACCUGUCCUCUGUACACCGGAUGUUUGCUCUUGUGUUACCACGUCGACUGGAGGCCUUGGUACAGUGUUCCGGUGGGUCAUACAACCACAGACAGGAGACCAUGGAUCUAUUUGGUUUUGUAGACGCACCAACAUAAAUCUGAUAAAUAUAUCCCAGGACAGUCCCGAGUACACGCUUGCAAUAGUAGAUGGUCCAGGAGAAUCAAUUUCUUUGUCCCCGCCUGAUACGGUCUACACAAGAAACGAGGGUGAUAGGUUACCGGACAUCACCUGUACAGCUGAUUGUAGACCUAGCUGUAUUUUCAUCUGGACAAAACCUGACUUCACCAAUUUUACUGCCUCAGCUGUGUUGUCACUGGGACAACUGGACAGAUCAGAGCAUGGGACAUACAGAUGUACUGCUAGGAAUGAUGUCGGCGAGUCAUCCACAGCUGUGGUUAUAGCCGUAUUGUAUCGCCCUUACCUAGUCAUCAGUCCGUCUAGUAACCCUUACAUUGUUGAGGAAGGCCAGACAGGCGUUACCUUUCAGUGUACGGCGACUAACACCAAUCCACCUGUCACCUCAAUAUCGUGGAGGACGGGGACAACCACGGUGUCCAGCACUGGUAUAUACAAUUUAACCACAAUCUCUCCGAGAGAUGCUGGCGUGUAUGUGUGUUCCGCCAGCAACAGUAUUGGUACAACGACUGCAAACUUAACAUUAGAAGUUAUAUCCAUGCCAAGGACACCAAAAAUAUUUGGCAUCACGAAACUGUCGUCAUCAUCACUGACGUUGAAAUGGACACCCAAUGACCAGGAUAAUUCGGCCAACACCUUCACCAUAGCGUACUCAUGCGUAGACUGUGACGUUACGGAUGUGAUGUCAGUUGAUGUCGAAGGUACCGGAGACACCCAAUUUACGACUCUUACGGACUUGCGGACAAACACACAGUACUAUAUUAACGUCACAGCGAGCAAUACUGCCGGCUCGAGCGUUUCGGCGGAACUGACUGCAGUAACCGCACCGGGUAUCAUCAAUGUAUGUACUGCUUCUCAAGAUACUGUUGGACCUACCUCAACUGCAGUGAUCGUUGUUAGCGCAAUCCUGAUUGUAGCAGCAGUGGUUUGUUUUGGAAUCUCUGUAUUUGUUUACCGAAAGGCACGUGUACUAAACAGGGCUGCUGGUCAGCAGGGAAUUGUGCAGAAGCCAGUAAAAUUCAGUGACGUACUUAAUCCAGAUACGAUACCAGCUCAUGCAGAAGAAAGAUCUCACUACCAAGACCUCGACCCUAAAGACAUUGGAAAACCAUCACUUUAUGAAGGCACCACUACUGCUGAAACAAACAAUGCUGAAAGAGGUCAUUAUCAAGAACUCGACCCAAAGGACGUAGGGAUGCAAUCAUCAUAUGAAAUCACUGCUAGAGGUAAAUCUGGUGUAGUUCGACGGAUACCAGCUGAAAUAUACUAACAUAAUACAGAUCACAUAUACUAUGAACAGCCAUAACAGCCUUAUCGUAUCCUCUUGCUUACAACAGUCCGAUUUAUUUCCCUUGAUAAGGAAUAUUUUCAUACUAUAUAUCAUAUUGUCCCCGGGUGUUCUUUUUAAAUAUUUGUGAAACAGGUUAUCGAUAUUCACGACGCCAUUUGUUAAAAUAUCCAGUUAUUUUGCAUUUAAAAAACAUACCCCUGGUAAUUUAAUCUAUGCAUUAUUAAUUCAGUGAACAUUUUGCCUAUGGCUUACACAUUUUUAGUGGCAUACGGUUAGUAAAUAAUAUAACAAUAAUAAUAAACAAAUAUUAGUUGUGGGAAUUUUUGUAAUGAUACAAUGUUUUAACAACAUGCCGUUAUUGACAUUAACUGUAUAUAGUAAAACCUCGAUAUCAUGCCCCUCGUCUCUCAGAUGCCACAUCCUUAAACGCAAACAUAUUUCUUUUUUUGUCGUUUUUGGAAGAAUUCAUUUUCUCGUUUUCCUCAAUUUAUCGCAAAACCCCUUUAUAAAGCCAAACAUUCUCUGGAUAAAUGGUGGCAGUAUAACGAGGUUUUACUUUAAUUCGUUUUUUAAAGUUAACACUGAUGUGGAUAGCGAUGCUGCAAGAGACCAAUAUGAAUCUGGACAAUCUACGCGACAUGACUACAAAAAUGUUACAGGAAAGAGAG